rnacentral:tRNA from 1 species
AAAAACUUAGGUUAAUACAAACCAGAAGCCUUCAAAGCUCCAAAUAUGGAAUCGACCCCUUAGUUUUUG